rnacentral:rRNA from 1 species
CAGUAGCCGCGGUAAUACGAAGGGGGCUAGCGUUGCUCGGAAUGACUGGGCGUAAAGGGCGCGUAGGCGGCGAUCAAAGUCAGGCGUGAAAUUCCUGGGCUCAACCUGGGGGCUGCGCUUGAUACUUGGUUGCUUGAGUGGGGAAGAGGGUCGUGGAAUUCCCAGUGUAGAGGUGAAAUUCGUAGAUAUUGGGAAGAACACCGGUGGCGAAGGCGGCGACCUGGUCCUUGACUGACGCUGAGGCGCGAAAGCGUGGGGAGCAAACAGGAUUAGAUACCCCUGUAGUCCCUGUCUCUUAUAC